rnacentral:rRNA from 1 species
UGAGACGGGGGGAGCAAGCGUUGUUCGGAUUUACUGGGCGUAAAGGGCGUCUAGGCGGAUCAGCAAGUCAGAUGUGAAAUCCCACGGCUCAACCGUGGAACUGCAUUUAAAACUGCUGAUCUUGAGUACGGAAGAGGAAAGCGGAAUUCCUGGUGUAGCGGUGAAAUGCGUAGAUAUCAGGAAGAACACCGGUGGCGAAGGCGGCUUUCUGGUCCGAUACUGACGCUAAAGCGCGAAAGUGUGGGGAGCAAACAGGAUUAGAUACCCUGGUAGUCCACACCGUAAACGAUGGAUACUAGGUGUCGGGGAUUCGACUUCUUCGGUGCCGAAGCUAACGCAUUAAGUAUCCCGCCUGGGGAGUACGGUCGCAAGGUUG